UGCGGGCCUCAGGCUCGGGCACAGCGCGGCCCGGGUCCGCCUCUACUGCCAGGCAAAGUGAGGAGUCAUGGUUCCGACAGUGACAUUUCCUCCAGCCAGAAGGACGAGUGGUUUGUGUAGAGGCAGGCCUGGACCAGAGCCCGCAGGGUGAAUCGGAGCGGUGGUGCCCUCACCGCCCCCUCCCGGGGGAUGAAACGACGCCAUACGUCGUCGAGUCGUCCCCGUUAAUCAUUGGUCGCGUGUGUCACCGGCGAACAUUGAGCCCACGAGCAACGCAGACGCGAUUCCCGAUCACCUUCUGCCUUCCCUCCGAGUGUCAUCAAAAUCGCAGCGAAAGUAAGAACGCAAGAAACAGAAGCAAAUUGCGCGAACAUGUCCACUUCUUCGAGGGCAAUUGCCGUCUUGUUUCAUCAAAUCUUAUGGUUUUUUCUUUUUACUGAAGGAAAAAUUUGUUGGGGGAAAAAAUAUAAAUAGCAAAAUUUUCAAACAGACGGUCAAUUAUUCAGAGAAUAAAUGCGAACGAGAAGAAUCGGUUCUCAAGGAGAACAUCGAUAUCGCCGACGGUCAACAUUUGCGAAUUUUGUUUGCGCCGCUAAUCGAGCUAUUAAGCGAAGUAAACAGAUUUUUAUGGCGAUCAAACAUUGUUCUCGAAACACCAUCGGAAAAACAUGCAAAUUGUUUGCACGAGAGAGAAGGAGUGAGCGGGAAAGCGAACGGCGUCGAUAUGCUAUACAUAUAUAUAAAUACAUAUAUAUAUAUAUAUAUAUAAAUGCGCGACACACGAUCCGUGAGAUUAUUGCCGAGGACAAAAAUUAAUUGCAAGCAUGUGUGUGUACGCGUGUGCGAGUGAAUGCGAAGAAGAGAAUUCACAAAUAAUACGCACAGCAAAAAAAAAGGAUGAGAGAGAGAGAGAAAGAGAGAAACGGGAGCUUCGCUCUCGUGUUGCACGUGUGCGCAGUUUUCGUUACGUAGCCUAGUCACGUAAGUCAAGGUGUUUUCUCGGUGUGUAUUCUGUGAAGCAGUUUAGAGAGAAAAGAAUGCCGUUUUAGUCGUACGAAGUGUGCAUCCACGGUAACGAUUUUGGCGAGUAUCCCAAUAAAUUCGGUCUUAUUUGUAUCGAGGCAAUAGGUUGCAGAUCUUUCGAUCAAUUUCUCACGCGAAAAUUGAAAAAGAAAAAAAAACUACAACGUAUCAGACUUAUAAAAAAAUGCAAUAUAAAUUGUACAUUUUAUUGCAUUACAACGCAGAGAAUACAAAACGUUUAGUGGUUUUUUUGUUUUUUUUUUCUUCUUAAACAAACCGAUAUUGAAGUGUAGGCGCGAUGAAAACAGGAAAAAAAAGCGUCCGAAUGUCGCGUGGAUUAUCGUUACCGUGAGAUUCUGUGCACGCGCGCGAGUAUCUGACGCGAAAACGUGCUUACAGAUAAAAACUGAGGUAUAUAUAUAUAUAUAUACCUUUAAGUAGGAAAAAUCUUAUGAGAGACUUCGAAGACGCUGAAUAUUUGCCUUCCAUUUUAUUCAUUCCGAUGAGAAAUUUUUAUUUAUUUUUAUUUAUUCCGAUGAAAAAGUUUUGCAAAGCGAAUCUCGCUUAGAUACGAAGCGAUUCAACGCUCGACGAUUUUUUUGAGAUGUCAUAAAUCAAGAAAAAGGGUCCUUUCCUCUUUCAACAACCGGUGACGGUGUCUCGUGUCGCUUUUUUUUUACAAGGAUAAUCAUUUUUUUCCCCGCGUCGGUGAAACGAGCACAAAAGCGGGACGGAUACUUCGCGCGCGUGUACUUGUAAUAUACUUGUAUCUACCAUUAGUCGUUCAAGCUUUGUGCCGUCUCCAUAGAUUACGAACGCGGAAAAAAGGAAAGAAAAGCGUAUACAUAUGUAGAAGUUAUAACAGCGAAAUAUCGGAAUAAGCAAGGGGAAAAAGAAGCAAGGAGAGAGAGUUUAUCAUUAAUAUAUAUAUUAUAUAUAUAUAUAUGAGAAUUUUAAUUUCACGACUGUAGCAACACAAAACUCGUACCGUUAGUGAAACAGUGACGAGAAAGAUAACGGAGUUAAUGUGUGAGUUUGUCACACUUGAAUUUAUAUAAACAAAAUACGAUAAUAAUAAUUUGACCGACAUAUCGACAAGAUCCUCGGACUUUUAUUGACAAAUAAAAAAAAACAAACAAAAAAAAAACAAAACAGAGUUGAUUUUGGUUGUGCAAAAACAACUUACACAGCGAUAUUACAAAGCGAUAUACAAAUUGUUUACAAAGUGUGUCUAUAAAGAACUUACGUUCCACAGAAUCUAGAUGCGAAUUUAUUGUCACCGAGUUGACGAUAAGUACUACUUGGCAAUCUUUUAUUCGAGUCUGAUCACGACCAAUGUAAUAUCAAUAAUAAUGUAAUAUCGAUCUGCGUGUCCAAUUGUCGCAAGUGUGAGAAAUUAGAGAAAAAGAUAGAGAGAAAAAACUCACCGGUGUGUACUAUUUCACAUUUUGUGACGAACAUAUCCAGAAAAUGUCGCCGAUUUUUGCGUACAUACAUGAGGAAAACAUCGAAAAUAAUAUUCAUUUUUACUGUACGAUCAAGUAGUCUUCGUCUAGCGUUUUUGCGAGAACCGUGCGUGAUACGAUAUUAUCGAUCGCUGUGCCGUUCAACAAUGUCGCCAAACGAUUGAGACUUUCACAAAUCGAGCCGAACAGAAAGCGGAAGAGUGCGAUUGAUUGAUGUUCCUCGUUACCGAGAUCAAUUCUUCAAUCACGAUUACGUAGAUAUUUUCCACAUGUUCACCCCUUUCAGCCCGAAUCGAAUGUUAUCAGACCGAAUUGUAAUACUGAAGUUUGUUACUAAGUUAUUCAACAACGUGCUAACCGGGAAUAAAUAAUAAAACAUAAUAAUAAUAACACGUCAAUCUGAGAAUUUUUAAUAAACAGCGUGAUGACUGUGGCGAUUGAGCUGAAGUGGGUCGACAGAAAUCUAGUUCGAGGAUAAAGAGUAGAAAAGUGUGCCUGGAUUGUGCGGAGUUGAUUAACGUUUGAUCGAAACUAGAGAGAGAACGAGCGAAUGAUGAUAGAAUAAUGAGAGAAAAAAUAAGAGAAAGAGAGAGAGAGAGAGUGAGAGAGAAAGAGAGCGUGCGUAGAGAAUGGAAAAGGAUCCUCACACGAUUAGAGAAGGAUUAUCAAUUAAAAUGAAAAAAAGGAUUACUGUUAUUAAUUAAUAUUAUGGUCUGUAGUCGAAGUACUGACGGUAAUAUUGAUUUUUUUUCCCUAUUGUGUGAGUAUCCUUGAAAUAUAUGCGAAUAUAUACAGACGGAUAUUUCGCGAUCCUUUGUGGUCCGAGAGCCACGAUUGUAGGGUAAGCGAGUAGGUAAGAAAUUCCGACUGUCGAAUUCGGACACACGGAAGCUAGCUUAAACUGCCAUGAUCAGGAACAGUGAGGAAGAAGGGAGGGGGAAAAGAUGUACGCGAGAGAUGUUAGAUGAAAUUUUAAAAUCGGAGGGAAAAUAUUCCGUAGUCUCUUGAAAAAAAAAAAACAAAAAAAACUCACGAUAUAAACUGUUAAAUAUUCGUGUGUAAACGAUUUAUUAGCGAGAUUAUCAACUUGUAGCGUAAUGUAAUUAUAGAACUCUUCUUAGGAAAAUUUCAAACUUCUCUCUUAAUUUUUUCUACACUUCGAACAUCAUCGACUCUCAAUUGUGCGCUGUACACACGCGAGAUAUCGGCGGUAGAUGAGAUGUAUUUUUUAAAAAGCGAAAAAGCGUCUAUUAGCGAAAAUUUACAUUCACGACUGAUAUUUCAUAUAUCGGGAACGAAUUGAUAUUUACCGCGAAUAUUUCUUCGCAAAAACAAAUCAUAAAUAUUCGUUUCGAGUCAUUGCUCUCGACAGAAAAGCUGCGGGAGAGAGAAAGAGAGAAAGAGAUUGAUGUGUGAUAUCGUAUCGAAAUAUCUCGCUUGGCAGAUAUUUAUAUCUAUAUAUAUGUGCCGAGAAAGAAAGAGAGUGCGAAUUGUGUUGCGUACUGUAAUAUAUUUCCGAUAUCACACGCCGUAUAUAACAUUCGUUGAAAGAAAUGCGCGCAGAAGAGCGUUGACUCUAUCAUCAAAACAAUCAAAAACGUUACAAUCUCUGUCUAGCAAUUAUCUUGUUUUUAACCUCGUUUGGAAAAUAGAUUUCUAUGUCGAGUAAAAUCAAUCGUCCUGAAAAUAUGAAAACUUUCACAAGAUUGUGUUUAAAAAAAAUUGAUAUCACACAAUGACGCGGCAAAAGUAACUUCGAGAGUGAAAUAAUUCUACUUGUGCAUAUCAAACUGAUAUAUCAUUGAUUACGUUAAACGUCAUAUCGCAACUUGCAUAUCACAGUGCUCGACGCGGAAAGGUCUACGAGUUUGUUAGUCAAUCUUGCUCGACGAAUUGGCGCGAAGAGUUCGUCGCCGCCGAUUUGUUUGAGCGCGCAUUUAUAUAUACCUACCGUGUGUACUUUCAAAAUCAACGUACGUAUACCUAAUAGAAGCAAUUAAAAGAAGAUUGAACUAAAGAAGCGGAACAAAUUUAGGGAGAGAUUUGUCCACAACAACUCGUCUUCUAAUCUAGAAAAUACGAGAGAGAAAAUCUAGUAGUGAAAUUUCGCAUUAAAAAAAUGUAUAGGAUAAAAUGAUUAUAUGUGACUUGUUAUAAUUGCAUCACGAUAUUCCGCGAAACGUUCUGCGAGGUGGAAUAAAGAAAAUCUUUCUUUAAAACGAAUAUACAUAUUUCUAUUGACGCAGGGUGAGAGAGAAAGACAGAGAGAGAGAGAAAGAGAGAGAGAGACAGCCUGUAAUUGUAAUGCAGAUAGAAAGAUAUACUAGUUAUUUUCAAAAAUUUAUAUAGAUGUAUAUACAUAUAUAUAUAUAUAAGUGAAAGAUUUAUUAUAUAGGGGACAUAAUUGAAGAAUCUUUCUGCUUUUCUCCGCAAUCAAUAAAUAGUUUGAAAGAGACGUUGUGUGUGAGCAGCACCCUGCGGCAGGAAACCUGUUUGUACUGAAUAAAAUUUAUCGCGCACAUACAUCAAAUGGGACUCCUCCGCGUUCGUUGGAUAUCCGAAACUCGCGUUAGCGCGCGAAAAUUUAUUAAUGGAAAAGUUUCACACGAUGGGAAUAGAAUGUCACGCAGUGCGCUUGUAUUUCUUGAAAGUCUAGAGAACUUAGGUGAGAAUCUAAUAGACAAAUAUUGACAAGGAAGAGAGAGAGAGAGAGAGAGAGCUUUAUGAAACGAACUGAUACAGAGUGUACAUGGUGUGAUUGUGGUCUAGAAAUUAGUAGUAAUAAUAGUGAUAGUGUAUCGGAAGAUAACGAGAAACAGGAUAAAAAUAACUUUUCGAAAAUAUCGGACGACGCGCGCGCAUUAUCGAACGACGUUUUUUUUGUCAAAUUCUUCGGUGUCAUUAGUCAUUUGCGUCUAUGGCUGCGUUUCAACUUAUUGUCAAUACUGAAAAUCUAUAGCGCAUGUGACGUGAAAUAUAAAUUUUUAGUACUGACAGUAAGUAUCGGAACGCAGCCAAAUAAGAUAAGUCAUAUUUUUGUGAAUACAGACAGUAGUCCAUUAGACGUCUAAUGGACGUCCAUAACUCCAUGUGACGUCUAAAUGAACAAGUAAUUUUUUUGUUUGUAUAAAAUAUGUUAUUCCGAGAAAAAUCAUAUGAAAACUGUGUAUAAAAUAACCAAACAAUGUUUUUGUUUUUAAUUUAUACAUAUAAUGUUAUGUAUCAAAUUUAUAAAUUUUGCGUUUGUUGUUUUCAAGUCAAAUAUUUAAAUGUAAUUUAUUAUCGAUUGGACAUUUUUUGACAUAAAACUCAUUCGAUAAAUGAGUCGUACGUGAUGAUACAUGUGACGAUAAAGGUGGUCUCUGUCGGGUCGCGUAAUCUGAUAAAGAAGAGAUCUGCUUCGUAUUUAUUCUGCGCGUGCAUCGUCCGAUUUUUUCGAAAGUAUAUUAAACGAUUCGAUUUCACUCUUCGAGAAGAUUUUGGAUGUUGUUGUAUAAGUAGGGACGUUAAUGUCUUUGCACGUGGAGUUGUACUUCUCAUUGUUAAGAUAUUAUUGUCGCAUUAUUGGUGCAACUUCGUGUGCAAAAGCACGAAAGUUCCCGCUUGUACAACGCGACAUAUCCAAAUAUGGGAUAGGAAUUUAUCGAGCUAGCGCGAAGCACGCGUGAUAGAAAAAUCUACGCGAGUUAGUGAGGAAUGGAUAGAGUACGGAUUGAAAUAAAAUAGUCGACGAGGAUUUAUCAUCGACAUUGUUUUGCCUUCAAUGUUACUUUGCCCGAAUUUAAGUGACAGCGAAACUAAUCAAUAAUAAUAAAUAAUAUUUUGAUCUACAAUAUUUUGUUGUAAUAACAAACGACAUAAUGCAACGUCGAACUUAUCGUCAGCGAAAACCUGUCAUUGAUAAAAUUCUCGCCGAUCAUUUCGGUGUAAUCCAAGAUAGGAAGGUGCACGAGAGGGGAGUAUUUUCACGAAGGAUACGAUGCUGUUUUAUUCAGGUGAGAGAGAAAAGUGGGCUAGAGCGGACAAUAAUAAAUCACUUUCGACGCGAUUUACAUUUGGGACGAAAAAGUAGUCGAGCCGUAUUUACAGAAUUCACUCACAGCAUUAGUAACGUCAUCAUUAUGAUCGCCAUCGAAAAAAAAAAAACACUACAAUUAUGGAAAUACUCCCAUCAACAAAGAAUCUUCAGCACGUAGCGCUUCUGUAUCUUAUUUGCGAUAGUGCGUGUACGUUUUAAGGAAAUGUCAAUAAUAUCGUGAAACGAUUUCGAGUCUCUCUUUAGAUGAGUAAAGAAAGACUAGAUCCUUUCGCAAUUACGUACCAAUCUUUGUAUCGGACGUAACGCGAGCUGUAGAUUAGAAUUUUUUUACAUUUAUUUUUUCUACUCGUAGCUUUUGUUACUUUUAUAUUACUUGAACAAUGUUUACCUCGUUUCACCGUAAAUGUGAUUGAAAAAAAAAAGACACACGUAAAUGAGAUCAAUUAUUCCUAAACCUGUUAAUUAUAAAAAUCGUAAUUUUUUAACAAACGCGCAGUUGAACACGGCAUGAUAUAUUUAACGUGUAAUUUAAAACAAAACUACAAAUAAAGUAAAUCAGCAACGGAAAUUCUUCGAGGGAAGAACUGCUUUUUUGGACACAUUAGCGUGAAUAAACCUCGACUAUCCUUUUAUAAAAUCUAAUCGUGCACGUCAUCACAUUGUCAUAAUCGAGAACAUCCAUUUAAAAUAAAAAAAAAAAAAAACAUUCAUGUACCACAGUACUAUAUCAUAGUGUUCAUAAUUAUAAACGUUCUACUUUCGAAGUUGAGCGAAUGCGAAAUUGAUCGAGAGAGAGAAAAACAAGUAAAUGAUUUAUCGAUCGACAAAGGUUUUGUUUUCGCGAAGAUAUUCAAACAAGAGAUCGUAUUUUUUCCAUCUUUUUGCGUCAGAUCCAAAGAAACUUGAAAAUCUAAAAACACACAGGGAUCGAACCUCGCGCUCGCGACUUCGAAAGUACGAAGCACGACGUGUAACAAUAAGUAAUGGGAAACAAUACAAUAAUUUUUCAUACUGUUUUUACUUUUUAAUACUAUGAUUAUCUGUAUAAUCUUAUUCUUAUCGUAUACUGUAUAUUUGACUGUGGCGCACGUAUAUCAAGCGAUGUACUUUCCAAAAACAUUUUAAGAGAACAUAUCUGUAAAAAUGCCGUAAGAGUUGCGCCUGCGCAGGAUUCACAAUUUUUGAUCAAUUUUGUCUCUCUACGACAACAAUACAAUACAAAAUAUGUACAAAAAUUAUUACGUUAGAAACUCACUGUGUAAAUCUAUGAUUUUACGCAACUAAUAAUCGAAGGGAAUUCGAUUAAUCAGAAUCUAGAAAAUCUCGAAGAGAGAUUUAGCCGAAUAUCAAAAAUCGAAAACCCGAACAAAUUUCCGCGUGAACUCGAGUAAUUUGAAAAAGUUUCGAUCUCAAUUCACGUUGAGUCUUUGCUCCAAAGAGAGUUUUUACAUGUUUACAUAUUAAUGAUAAUUUAUAUACAAAUAUUUUAUUAACAAAAAUAACAACAUCGUAAAUUGUUUAUUGUGAAUCUUGCAAGCUCUAUCUUGUACGGUAAUCUAUAAUGUACACAGCGUACUGACGUUACAUAUUACGCUCUAUAGUUUGUAUUUAUAGCAAUUGCCGAGAGGAUUCAACUCAAUUAUAAUAUUAGCAUGAGAUAAAUAAGCUCGCGUGUGUGUGACAGUAUGCGUAAGUAUGUGUGCAACUGCGAUAAAAGAGAAAGAAUGAGUGACGACUACUCGCUUGUGUGUUUAUCCUAUGAGCGAUUUUUCAUAAUCGUGAGAAAGAGAGCGAGAGCGAGAGAGAAAGAGAGAGAAAGAAAGGAAGAGAAAGAGAGAGUGUGUGAAAUAUUAUUUCCUGAUGAUACAAAAAAAAAAAAAAAACACGGCGAUAUAAGCAAAGUUUGUGUGAAUUUCAUAAAAGUCUGACAAGCUCAGUCCCCUGAGAACUCAGGUGUGCGAACACGUUCUUCAAUCGAGUUUUCAUCUUGCAUCGUGCUAAACACAUGCUUUCAGUGUGCAAAUCGUUUUGUAAGCUAGAUCCCGAUAUCUCUGAUAAGGAGCGCACGCACAGACGAAGGAAACUAAACGACUACGCCGCGAUCUGCACGUUUCACAAUCGAGUGUAGCAUAAAAUUACGAACUGUUCGUAAAAUACACCUCUACAGAGAAUAAAUUAUAUAUAAUUUUUAACAGAUUAUAUAUAAUUUUUAACAGAUUAUAUAUAAUUUUUCUUUUAUUAUUUGAAAAGGAAUCUUAAUAAGCUUCUAUUUCAGCUUUACGAAUCUCUAUAUCUAUAAUGUUAAAAGACAUGGCGAUCUUAAUUUUAUUUUAUAACGUGUGUCAAUCAAUUCGAAACAAUACAAAUAUAAUGAUAAAAGUUAGUGAGAACGUAUACACAUAUCGACAAAUUUUACGAGAACUCGUUGCAACGUGCAGAAUCGUAGCAGCAGGCGAGCGAUAUCGUACAAACUGAAUUGUUACAUGAAAUCCACUCUCGGCGUUGUACGUAAUAUUACGUGACUUACGAGCGUUAUUAUCCACAUGAGUCGCCGGAGUCGAGUAAGCGAAGCGAUCACUAACAAGUGCCGGUAAAAGGAGCAUGUGAAUCAACACGGACUGAUAAAACACACAACACGUAGCAUCAAUAACAAAUAUCGCGCGUUAUAUCCUUAACGUUACUUUACUUCGUCGUAUCCUGUCCGCGCAUAUCACGUGUGUAACAAUAACGAAGCAACUAAGUAAGAGUGUAACUACUGCCGAAGCGUAUCAUCUUAGCAUCGUCUCAUCUCAACUCACGCGUACCGUAUCUAACGUUUCAUACGACGAUUAUUAAAAAUACACGUCCGCGAGAUUAUCACCAACCGAUUUUCGUUAUUCGCGCAAUGACGAAUGAGCGGUACUCGUCCACAGAUAAUUCGACCGUCCGACUUUCACAGCUGGACGGUUUGUUUUUUCAAACGAUCUCGUCCAAGUCGCUCGAAUGCUUAUUCGCGAUUUUCCAUUUUUCGGAUUCUCUCCAACGCUUCGAGUUUCGUUUUCCGAAUGUCCGACCGCGACGCUUCCAACUUCGCUCCAGAAGAAGAAACCGAUCCGUUUAACUUUAAUCCAAUCUCUCUCAAGUGUUUUUAUUAUAUUAAAAAAAAAAAAUUAAAAACAAAGUAACACUUUGCGACAAGGUCAAUUGGAAGGAGAGAGAUAAAUUCCGAUUUGUCGCGAGCGUCGUUAAUGAUUUUGCAAAAUACGCGCUGGAGAACGUGUGGAAUGCGAAAAUUCGAAUAGGUGUGUAAGAAUAAGUAACAUGUGCGUUAACGAGGUAACAGGCCGUUCGAGAACCGCGCAAUCGCGAUUGAGACGCGUCCCCUCAUCCCGGCAGCAGGUGGACUCGAUAGCGAUAGUGAAUUAUUGUAUAACGAUUAGAGGUAGCGCGGACGGGACGACUUCGAUCGAUUGAUUGUGCGUGAUCGAACGGUCCGAAAAUAUGCUGUACGUAUAUAAUGACCACGAGAGCAAACAAGACAGAAAACUUCGAGCCGCUUGGUAUAAUAAUAAAAUAAUUGAGCGCUUAAACGAGCCGAAAGAGAGAGAAAGAGAGAAAGAGAGAAAGAGAGAGAGAGAGAGAGAGAGAGAGAGAGAGAGAGAGAGAGAGAGAGGAAAACUAAUUAUAUCUCCGUAAAUAUCCUAUAAUAUAUUCAAAACCAAAAAAAAAAGAUAACCAAAGCAUUGUAACCUUCUAGAGGCAAAGAAGAAAAAUAGAAAAAAGUACCUAAUCUUGUAUCGUUUAGUUCGACCACUGAUUUGUCCGUGUGUGUUCGUUACUGAAAUAUGUUUCUUUAGUAA